AUGCACGGGAGGCUGCACCCCGCCUCCAUCUCCACGCGUGCAGCGGCGACCCCGGGAGGAGCUCGAGCCGCAACGGUGGUCCACGGCGCCGGCGUCGGCAGGAGGAGUGUGGGCCGUAGAGACGGCCGGCUCCGUCCGGCUUUCGCGCUGCCGUCCAUCCACCCGAGCGAUCAGUCCGCGCGUCCUCGCCUCCGUCCUCUCACGCACGCCCUCGUGUCUGGAUAUUUGCUUUCAGUCACGGAUUCUUGA
rnacentral:rRNA from 1 species